UGAUGGGGGAACUCCAAGUGUUCCUCAAAGAGGAACUUUUGUAGUAUGUAAAAAGUACUGCGAAUAAGAGCUGGGCAAGACUGGUGCCAGCCUCCGCGGUAAAACCAGCAGCUCGAGUGGUAGCCAUUACUAUUGGGCUUAAAGCGUUCGUAGCCGGUUUAGUAAGUUCUCUGUGAAAUCCUUAGGCUCAACCUAAGGGCCGGCAGAGAAUACUGCUAGGCUUGGAGUCGGGAGAGGUUGAGGGAAUUUCUGGGGUAGCGGUGAAAUGCUAUAAUCCUAGAAAGACCUCCAAGGGCGAAGGCACUCAACCAGAACGGGCUCGACGGUGAGGAACGAAAGCUAGGGUAUCAAACCGGAUUAGAUACCCGGGUAGUCCUAGCCACAAACGAUGCGGACUAGGUGUUUCUUGAACUUCGAGUUCAAGAGAUGCUGAAAGGAAACCAUUAAGUCCGCCGCCUGGGGAGUACGGCCGCAAGG
rnacentral:rRNA from 1 species